UUUCCUUUUGUAGCCUCGGCGGUGCUUGUUCAGUCCGGGGCGCGGUCGUUUCUCUCACACUCUGGGAUCCAGCGCGGCCCUGACAGGCCUCAUUCCCACGUACGGGCUGGAGCUCCGGCCUUAUCCAGCUGCUUUAUAGGCUUCCAUGAAGUCCGCCUGCUCCUGGAUGUCAGCUCCUGUGUCUAGUUCCAAGAGCUUGCAGUGACGGCACUGGUGGUGACAUGAAGGUAGCUCCUGAGAAGAAUGCAGUCCGGAUCCUGGCUGGACGGGAGAGAGGAUUGCAAGCUCAGGGAGCCCAACGUCUUCUGCAAUGCCUGGUGGAGGAUAAGACCCGGUUUAUGAAAUGGGAGGGCAAGAAGGUGGAGCUUCCCGACAGCCCGCGUUCUACAUUCCUACUGGCAUUCAGCCCAGACAGGACUCUGCUGGCUUCCACCCAUGUAAAUCACAAUAUUUACAUCACAGAGGUUAAGACUGGGCGCUGUAUCCAUUCUCUCGUGGGACAUCGGCGCACUCCAUGGUGUGUGACUUUCCAUCCCACCAUCCCAGGACUCAUUGCGUCAGGGUGCCUCGAUGGCGAGGUUAGAAUUUGGGACUUACAUGGCGGCAGUGAAAGCUGGUUCACGGACAGCAACAAUGCAAUCGCCUCCCUGGCUUUCCACCCCACAGUACAGCUGCUGCUUAUCGCCACCGCCAGCGAGAUUCACUUUUGGGACUGGAGCCGGCGAGAGCCUUUCGCUGUGGUAAAAACGGCCAGUGAAAUGGAACGUGUACGAUUGGUACGAUUUGACCCCCUUGGACAUUAUCUUCUUACUGCUAUCGUAAACCCCUCUAACCAGCAGAGCGAUGAAGAAUCUGAGAUCCCCCUUGACAGUGCAGAGAUUCCCAUAUAUCGCCAGCGUUCCCUGCUGCAGACUCAGCCAGUGCGCAGGACUCCUCUGCUUCACAACUUCCUGCACAUGCUCUCCUCCCGAUCCUCAGGUACCCAGGCAGGAGAGCAGCCACCUGUGCAGGAUUCUGCCACGCCAUCUCCUCCACCCCCUCCACCUCCACCACUGCCUCCCCCAUCAAACGACAGCAACCAGCGGGUUCUAUAUACCCGCAUCCGAGAGCGAGCCCCAGCAGUCAAUACUCCCUGCUGCCAAGACCCCAGUAUGUUGUGCCUCUGCAUCCGCUGCUCCAAUGCACGGCUGUCUUCUCCUCUCUUCCCACACCCAGAAGCACCAGGGGCUCCUUCUACCUCUUCGGGGGCUACUUCCACUUCAUUUUCCCCAGUGCAGACAGAACCCUUGCACUCCUUGGAGCGGCAGCAGCAGCACCAGUCAUCCGCUCAACAUGAUCAUGGUCUUCUGAGCCGCCCUUCUGCCUUCAGCAGCGUUCACAGCAGCACAGCCGGCAACACACUGCGUAACCUGAGCCUGGGACCUACCCGCCGGUCACUAACAGGGCAGCCUUCCCGCUAUCAGCAGCCACCCACUGAUUUGGCUGGUUCUGAAUGGACUCGCACUGUGCUGAGUAUGGGACCUCGGCCAGAGCCGGAACCCAUGCCACCACCCAGGACGAGUGCCUCUUCUGUCAGCCUCUUGUCAGUUCUGCGACAACAGGAAGGAGAAACGUCCUCUUCUGUAUACACCUCAGCAACAGAGGGGAGAGGGUUCUCUAGCUCGGAAUCUGACAGUACUGGGGCUCCCCCACCUGUUCACCCCUCAACCACUCGAACUGACCUUCAGUGUGACCUGAGGCGCUUCUUCCUUGAGUACGACAGGCUUCAUGAUGUGGAGCCGGGAGCACCGGGAACAACACAGGGACAGACUCACGAGAUGCUUAACAACAAUUUAGAACCUGAGCAGCCUGGAACAUCAUCUCAUCAACCCCCACAAGCUCAUGCAGGCGACAGCACCUCCAGCCAGCCCCGUGGACACAUUAAUCGCUGUCGUGCAUGUCACAACCUGCUGACCUUUAACAAUGACACACUGCGCUGGGAAAGGACCCCACCAGCUUAUCCAGAGACAACAGGAACCUCUGCCUGGCAGCCUCCACCCAUUCCUCCCCCAAGCUCUUUCCAGGCUGGUCUCGCCGCUGGCAGCACAGAUCACCCUGGUACGGCCGGGGCGGGGAGAGUGGACCUAGGAAGCAUGACGGCAAGCAGUAGUCGUCUGGAAAAUGGGGCUACACAGGAGGAGAGAACAGUAGGAGUGGUGUAUAACCCAGAGACUGGACACUGGGAACGUGUCUACAGCCAGCCAGCAUCUGUUAGUAGAGCUCCGAAUGUAUCCCAAGAGGCCUUACCACAGGAUCUGCAGGAGGAGAGCACAGAGGAGGACUCUCUCAGAAGGAGGCUUUUGGAGUCUUCAUUGAUCUCUCUGUCCAGAUAUGAUGCCACCGGCUCUCGAGAGCAUCCGAUCUACCCUGACCCAGCCAGGUUGUCUCCAGCCGCCUACUACGCACAAAGGAUGAUCCAGUACCUGUCUCGGAGGGACAGCAUAAGGCAGCGCUCUAUGAGAUACCAGCAGAACCGACUACGCACCUCUGCAGUCUCGUCCUCCAGCGAGGCUCAAGGAGCUGUAGAGGCUGGAGAUUUAGAGUUUGAGGAGUUUGAGGACAACGGGGACCGCUCUCGGCAUAGGACAACCCGAAAUGCUCGAAUGUCCGGCACCCAUCCCUGGGACGCUUUGUACCGAGAUUCCUGCUGCCGGAAUACCUGCCUUACGCUGGCAUUUUCCAUGAGCGCGGUCAGCCGGGACUGGCCACACACUCUUCUGUCAACAGAGUUCUGGCAGGUGCAGUGAUAGGUGAUGGACAGUCUGCGGUGGCCAGUAAUAUUGCAAACACGACUUACAGACUGCAGUGGUGGGACUUCACCAAGUACGACCUGCCCGAAAUCAGCAACGCCUCCAUUAAUGUUCUGGUUCAGAACUGCAAGAUAUACAAUGAUGCUAGUUGUGAUAUCUCUGCGGAUGGGCAACUCCUUGCAGCCUUUAUCCCAAGCAGCCAGCGGGGCUUCCCUGAUGAAGGCAUCUUGGCCGUAUAUUCCCUGGCGCCACACAACUUGGGCGAGAUCCUGUUCACCAAGCGUUUUGGUCCCAAUGCUAUCUCAGUAAGCCUGUCCCCGAUGGGACGAUAUGUCAUGGUUGGUUUGGCCUCCCGUAGGAUUUUGCUUCAUCCUUCCACAGAGCAUAUGGUGGCUCAGGUCUUCCGCCUUCAGAAGCCUCAUGGAGGAGAAACAUCAAUGAGGCGCGUGUUCAAUGUGUUGUACCCGAUGCCUGCCGACCAGAGGCGUCACGUCAGCAUCAACUCUGCCCGUUGGCUGCCCGAGCCGGGCCUGGGAUUGGCGUACGGUACCAACAAGGGAGAUCUGGUGAUUUGUCGGCCAGAGGCAUUUGACAAUGUCUGUGAUCAGUUCUGGGAGCAAAUGAAUGAGGCCAUCCUACAGCAUAACACUCCACGGAGCAGCGAGAGGCCUGGAACCAGUCGUGCUUCUUGGAGAUCAGACAGAGACAUGGGCCUAAUCAAUGCCAUUGGCCUUCAGCCUUGUAAUCCCACCACCUCGGUGACCUCCCAAGGAACCCAGACUCCUGCUCCUCAACUGCAGAAUGCAGAGACACAGACCGAAAGGGAGGUGCCAGAGAGCCGCCCAGCGCCCCCCACUGCUGAGGCAGAGUCCAGCGGCACGGCAGAGACCCCUUCCAGCAGCUUAGAGGGGGCACCGUCUACUGGAGAGUCGCAGGAAGGGAUCCCCUCAUCAUCGGAGGUGCCUGACUCAGGAGAGAGCCAGGAGGAUGCUCUGAGCAGGAUCCAGAGGCUUAUGGCUGAAGGAGGGAUGACGGCCGUGGUGCAGAGAGAGCAGAGCACAACAAUGGCCUCCAUGGGAGGCUUCGGCAACAACAUCAUAGUCAGCCACAGAAUCCACCGUGGCUCCCAGACUGCGUCUGACCCAGCAUCCCGUGCUUCUGCCCCUCGCUCCCCACAACCCUCCACCUCCAGGGAGACUGUAGCAGAGUUAGAACGCCUUCUUGCCCCGCCCCAAACAAGUCCAUUACUCCUCCCCGAGACGCAGUUGCUGACCAAUAACAAUAAUGAGGGUGAAGUCGAUGUGCAGCCUCUUGGCAGUGGCGCCUUUCCUGGGGUGGAGAGGUAGAAACACGGACCUGUGAUCCUGGUACUGCUGUAAAGACUGACCCCCCACCCUGCCUACUACUGCUGGUGGGGAUUUCAAGCUGUGGACAAUGGUGCUAUAGACUUGGAGGGGAAUCCAUUUGCUAACUGACCCUCCAACAUGUCAUGGGAUAAAGCUUACAAUGAGAAAUCUCAUUUUGCCCCCUCUCUCACCCUGUUGCCAACUACUCCAGGGUAGUUAAGUGGAGCCAUGUUCACUGCAAAUGGGGUAAGUGUUCUUGCUCCACCCUGAUUAAUAUAUAUAUAUAUAUUACAAAGUGAGCAAAGAGCCUUAACGAGUAGAGAGAGAGGAGGAUCUAGGGAUUACGCCCCUCUCCUUACUGCCUAGUCUGUGCUUUAUUGGUUCCAAAGGGAGACGGGGAGGGGUAGAUGGCACUAAAUUUCCCUAUGGGUCAGUUUGAUGGCAAGUGCAGGGAGCUGCUAUAAGACUGUUACUGCCCUUCUUGCUUUGGCUGAACUCAAGGAGUGAUGCAUGCACUACAAGAAGGGUGGUGGAGGGGAAGGAAGGGUCUCUCUCUUUCUCUCCGGCGCAUGUGAGUGUGGGUGUCCGGCCUGCCUCUUCUACAACUCCGCUCAGAGGAGCUACAAACUCAGCCUGCUCCCCCCCUGAAUAAUGAAAUUGUAGGCUGUGUGCUGAAUGGGUCAUGUGUCUGUUUCUUUAAGGACGUGAGGUGGUUAUUCUCUUCCGCUGUCCGUAAACCAAUAACCAGCCGCAUCACACGCCUGAGUUCUGUUCAGGUUGCCAAAAUCAGAGAUCCUGCCGCCAGUGAGACUUCUCCUCUGAUUCUCAACUUUCCUUUUUAUGCAGCAGCAGCAGCUCUAUCCUUAUAAGCGUGCAAACCCUCCACCUCCUGCGAAUACGUUUUCAUUGUAUGUAUGAUUAUAUUGGAUGAUAUGUACCCCCCUACCCCCCGUCAUUUGUGUGUACAGGAAUUGUUCCGCCCCCCUCGUGUGAAACUCUUUACCCAAAUGACUUUAUACCUUGCUGAAGGCCAGUAGAGCACCACAUGUGUUAACUCUGAUCAGCUGCUUCUUGUCCCCCCCCCCCUGUGGAUGAACACAAGAGCUUGCGCCCACCCCUGUUGUAUCCUAGACAGUUGGCCGAUUUACCUGGGGAGGUGGAGGGGCUUCUCAGCUGCAGGCGCUCUGCCUCCAUAGUUUCCCGCAGUUGGCCAAUGAACAAUGACAGUAUUAAAGGUAAAUGUUACAGAAGGGCCAGGUUACAAUAAGCUCUUGCUUAUGAAGUUACUAAGUGUGCUGCUCUCCAUUCCCGCUGUCUUAAUAAUCAAGAUACAAGUCCUUUUUAGCCUUGUUUGAUGCUGGCAGUUGCACUUCAACAGCAGCUGAAAGGCCAAAGGUUGGGCCGCCAUCUUGUUCUGCAGCCAUGCAGGGGAAUAGUUGUCCUUAUUUGCAUCAAUUGGACCCCCUCCUAUUAUGAGCCCUGCGUUCGCUCUGCGCUUUCACAUAUUAUGCCUCAUUUUCUGAUUAUCCCCAGGCCUGCUGUACAUGGCACUGCCCCCCUGGUGAAACGAGUGAGGCUCUUGCGCUUGUAUCAGUAGAACUGCAGAACCUCACCCUACUUAGCGGCUUUACUACCUGCAGAUAUUCCAGAGUGUUGCUUUACGACCUGCUGUAUCGUUAGUCUGAGCCGCUCUCAUAUACUCGGCAUCAGUGGGAACUGAGAGGCCAUUGCUCCCGUAUUCCAACCUUCCACAGGCCACGUUGAGUCUCGGAGCAUCACUCCAGCGCCCCCGGUAACAUUCUCACAACCGCAGAGCGUUCCGCCACUAGUCUGCAAUGCUUCGUUGGUUUUUGCUCUUACAGUCUGUGCGACACAUAACUGGGCUGUUGAAGGCACCAUUCCAGUAACCCAUUGUGACUAUUUUAGGGCGACUCCAUUCAUGUAACGAUUUCAGAGCAUUGCUCCAGUAAACCCUGUGACACCAGUUUUACGUUGUGUCGAGCCUCAUUUUGCUGCGGCUGGUGUGUGUGUGUGUUUGCGAGUGUGUGCGUGCGGCUCGCUCUCCUUCGUAUACGUUCAUGUGUCGUUGACUCCACCAUUAUAAUAUUCUCAACUCUUGUCCGAGGUCUUCAGUCCAUGAACACUUAAGCCUCUUUAGAGUCGACACGUCAUGUUGGCCUUUGUCUUGUUUUAAUUGGCACCCUGUUCCUGGCUACUCCUGGGGGGGGGUUGGUUUCUCCUGCUGCCUUUACAACAUCGGUUUGUUACUGGCCUCUCAAGCCUCCGUAAUUGGUCUCAGCCGAGAGAUCUGGCAGAAUGAGGGCAGCCGAGACAGGAGCCUACGACCAGUCUAAAUUAUGAGUCUUCUGACAAUGACAGCAACCAAGUGUCCUGUCUCUUCUGAGUUACUAAUAUACACGCCCAUGUAUCAAGCUCGUUGGCCUGUGUGUGUCGCUCCGUUAAGGAGGCCUCAUUCGUUCUUAGUGAUCCCUACUUAAUGCAGUUGGCUUCCCUGAAAGUCAACUCUCCGCAUUCUCCACCAAUUUUUCAGGUGGAGAAUACAGAGAGUUGUCUAAAAGGGCUGCAAAUUUCCCCACCCUUGCCUCUUGGUUCGUAUACGUGGCCGUCAUUGGUAAUAGGGAGAAAAAACGCCUUGUCCAGUCUUGCUUUUUAUUAUAUAAUAAAAAUGAUCCAAUCGGUGA